rnacentral:rRNA from 1 species
UACGUAGGGGGCAAGCGUUGUCCGGAAUCAUUGGGCGUAAAGCGCGUGUAGGCGGUUCGGUAGGUCCGUUGUGAAAACUCGAGGCUCAACCUCGAGACGCCGAUGGAAACCCCCGAACUAGAGUCCGGAAGAGGAGAGUGGAAUUCCUGGUGUAGCGGUGAAAUGCGCAGAUAUCAGGAAGAACACCCGUGGCUAAGGCGGCUCUCUAGUACGGUACUGACGCUGAGACGCGAAAGCGUGGGGAGCGAACAGG